AACCAUAGAAACCUGCGGAGUACCUGCGGAGGGAUCAUUACAAAAAGAACCAAAGGGGUUUUGGGCUUCGGCCCAAGAAUACCCAAACCCACCUUAUGUGCAUUGUUCACGUUUGCUUUGGCAGUUGCUUUGACCUCUUUGGAAGUCAACUUCCCGCCGGCUCUAUCCUCUUUUUUUUUUAAAAAAAGGGACAGCUGGUGAUGAAGCGGCCUGCCAAGGCUUUUUUCAAACUAACGCUUU
rnacentral:misc_RNA from 1 species